CCUACGGGGGGCAGCAGUGGGGAAUAUUGGACAAUGGGGGCAACCCUGAUCCAGCAAUGCCGCGUGAGUGAUGAAGGCCUUAGGGUUGUAAAGCUCUUUUACCAGGGAUGAUAAUGACAGUACCUGGAGAAUAAGCUCCGGCUAACUCCGUGCCAGCAGCCGCGGUAAUACGGAGGGAGCUAGCGUUGUUCGGAAUUACUGGGCGUAAAGCGCACGUAGGCGGCUUUGUAAGUUAGAGGUGAAAGCCUGGAGCUUAACUCCAGAAUUGCCUUUAAGACUGCAUCGCUUGAAUCCGGGAGAGGUGAGUGGAAUUCCGAGUGUAGAGGUGAAAUUCGUAGAUAUUCGGAAGAACACCAGUGGCGAAGGCGGCUCACUGGACCGGUAUUGACGCUGAGGUGCGAAAGCGUGGGGAGCAAACAGGAUUAGAUACCCCGGUAGUCUA
rnacentral:rRNA from 1 species